UAGGGUUUGAUUUAGGAUUUAGGAUUUGUUUAGGAUUUGGUUAGAGUUUAGGAUUUGAUUUAGGAUUUAUUUAGAAUUUGGUUAGAAUUUGAUUUAGGGUUUAGGAUUUGGUUUAGGAUUUGUUUAGGAUUUGGUUUAAGAUUUUUUUAAAGUUUGAUUAGAGAUUGAUUUAGGAUUUAGGAUUUGGUUUAGGAUUUGGAUAGAAUUUGGUUUAGGGUUUGGUUAGGAUUUAGUUUAAGAUUUAGGAUUUGAUUUAGGGUUUAUUAGGAUUUGUUUAAGAUUUAAGAUUUAAUUAGUUUUGGCCUAAAGUUUGAAUGAAGUCUAAUAGAAUUUUAAGUAGAAUUAAAAUAAGAUUGAAUUGAGAUGUAUUUGAGAGAUAUUUUUGAUCAUUCUAAUAUUUCUUUAAGAUUUUUUUAUUGUUUCUUUGAAAUUUCUUUGAGAUUUCUUUGAAUUUGAUUAAAGCUUAUUUAACAUUAUUAUGGUCUAAUUAGAGUUUAGUUAGUAUUAUAUUAUAGUUAGGAUUUUUUUGUUGUAAUUUUGAUUCUACCUUCCAUAGGUAGGUGCACUAAGUAUUCUCAAGCAAGACUUCAUGUAUUAUGACAAAGUUCUUUCUAGACGUUCUUAUCUUCCACCAAAAGAAGGAGAUACAUCUUUUAAUCAAUAAAGUUCAAUUCUCUUGAAGCCCUUGCAUUUUCAUCUUUGAGAUAUAAAAUCAACACUGACUGUUGAUUCAACAUUUGUGAAACAAAUUCAAUCAAGCAUGUCCUCUGAUCCUCUUGUUUAGGAUAUUAAGGAUUCUUCUUCUAAGUCCCAUGAUACUUCUAAGUUUGAAUU
rnacentral:lncRNA from 1 species